AAAACCUGAAGAUGAUCCUGAGU
rnacentral:piRNA from 1 species